AACGUAGGUCACAAGCGUUGUCCGGAAUUACUGGGUGUAAAGGGAGCGCAGGCGGGCGAUCAAGUUGGGAGUGAAAUCCAUGGGCUCAACCCAUGAACUGCUUUCAAAACUGGUCGUCUUGAGUAGUGCAGAGGUAGGCGGAAUUCCCGGUGUAGCGGUGGAAUGCGUAGAUAUCGGGAGGAACACCAGUGGCGAAGGCGGCCUACUGGGCACCAACUGACGCUGAGGCUCGAAAGUGUGGGUAGCAAACAGG
rnacentral:rRNA from 1 species